GGAGCAACCAGGGGCAGAGCAGCUGCGAGGGGCCCUCAGCGGCCUGUCCACCUCCUGGCCCUGGGAUGGUGCUUCCCACCGGCGGGCACGCAUAGCGGUCGGAGAUGGUGGCAGACAUGGCGCUCUUCUUCGUGGUUGCUGGAUUGCUGACGGCAGCUCUCUCAGGUCACCCAUCUCCGACCCCAUCUGACCAGCCCAACACCACCAGGGCAGAGAGCCAGACCUUGCAACCAGGGGAGCGACUCCAGGUCCGUCUGGUGAAUGGGAGCAGCCGCUGCGACGGGACAGUGGAGGUCUGGUUCCAGCAGUCGUGGCAGCCCGUGUGCGGGGCGCUCUGGGAGCUCAAUGCCUCCCACGCCCUGUGCAGCUCGCUGGACUGUGGCCAGGCUCAAGCUGGAACUCCGGUCCUGCAGACCCCGGAGCCGCCGCCCUGGGGAGCCGAGUGGAAUGCCAGCUGGGCCCCGACCACCACAGGGGCCCUGGCCCCCGCCGUCCAGUGCAGCGGCCCCGAAUGGCUGAGCUGCAAGGUGGUGGAGCGCGACUGCCGCAGCGACGAGCGGCCCGCCCAGGUCAACUGUACAGAAAAACGCGAUUUGAAAUUGGUGGGUGGUGGCAGCCCAUGUGAGGGCCGCGUGGAGAUGCUGCAGCACGGCCAGUGGGGUUCGGUGUGUGACGACACGUGGGACCUGGAGGAUGCUCACGUGGUGUGCCGGCAGCUGGGCUGCGGCUGGGCCGUCCAGGCCCUGCCCGGCUUGCACUUCGCCCCUGGCCAAGGACGCAUCCACUGGGACCAAGUGAACUGCACUGGGUUGGAGACCUACCUGUGGGACUGCCCGGGGCUGCCCGGAAAUGGGUACUGUGGCCACAAGGAGGACGCUGGAGUGGUGUGUUCAGAGCACCAGUCCUGGCGCCUGACCGGGGGCACUGACCCCUGCGAGGGGCAGGUGGAGGUGUACUUCCGAGGGGUCUGGAACACAGUGUGUGACAGUGAGUGGUACGACUCAGAGGCCAACGUGCUCUGCCAGGACUUGGGCUGUGGGACCGUGGCCCGGGUGCCCAAGGGGCUGCCCCACUCCUUGUCGGGCAAGAUGUACUACUCAUGCAAGGGAAGGGAGUCCACCCUCUCCAAAUGCUUCUGGCGGUUCAACAACUCCAACCUCUGCAGACAGUCCCAGGCAGCCAGGGUCCUCUGCUCAGGUGCCCGGAGUCUGCUCAAUCUGUCCACUACUGAAGUCCCUGCAAGUGGUCAGCCAGUCACUGUGGAAUCUUCUGUGAUGGUGAAAACAAAGGACUGGGAAUCUCGAGAGCUAAUGCUCCUCAUCCCCUGCAUCAUUCUGGGAAUUCUCCUUCUCAUCUCACUUGUUUUCAUAGCCAUCAUCCUCUUGAGAAUUAAAGGAAAAUACGCCCUCCCUGCUGUGGUAAACCACCAGCACUCACCCACCACCACCCCGGCAGGGAUGGAAAACUAUCAAGAGGUCCCCAUCACCAUCGCCAAAGAAGAUUCCCAGCGGCACCGCUUCACAGAGGAGGAGGCCCAGCAGAACAGGUUCCAGAUGCCCCCCCUGGAGGAAGGACUGGAAGAGGUGCAUGCCUCCGAAGUUCCACCUGCCAACCCUGAACACUGCAUUGCACACCCUCCCUCCCGGGACCUUCCCCCACGGAGCAAAAGCAGCUCCAGCACAUCUUCGGGGGAGGUGUAUUGUAACAGCCCCAACAGCAAGCGACCUCUGUGGAGCUCUCAAGUGUUUUCAACAGAGAGGAACCCCCUCCUGGAGCAGCCCCCCAACUUGGAGCUGGUUGGCUCCCAGGCAACUAUUCCAGGGUCCCGUGCUCCCCAGCCUGACUUCUCCUCUGAUGAAGAAUAUGAUGACAUCGGAGCAGCCUAG
rnacentral:lncRNA from 1 species